rnacentral:pre_miRNA from 1 species
UCUCAUGGAUGAGCAAAAAAAGUGGGUUCUUGAGAUGGGAUCUACUCCUGGUAAAGAUGUUGUGAA